GCCGGUGUAGCUCAGUGGUAGAGCAACAGUUUUGUAAACUGUAGGUCGUGAGUUCAACUCUCACCGCCGGCU
rnacentral:tRNA from 1 species